rnacentral:rRNA from 1 species
GAACGCUGGCGGCGUGCUUAACACAUGCAAGUCGAACGAAGCAUUUACGACAGAUUUCUUCGGAUUGAAGUUGUUUAUGACUGAGUGGCGGACGGGUGAGUAACGCGUGGGUAACCUGCCUUAUACAGGGGGAUAACAGUUAGAAAUGACUGCUAAUACCGCAUAAGCGCGCAGGAUUGCAUGAUCUGGUGUGAAAAACUCCGGUGGUAUAAGAUGGACCCGCGUCUGAUUAGCUGGUUGGUGAGGUAACGGCCCACCAAGGCGACGAUCAGUAGCCGACCUGAGAGGGUGAACGGCCACAUUGGGACUGAGACACGGCCCAAACUCCUACGGGAGGCAGCAGUGGGGAAUAUUGCACAAUGGGGGAAACCCUGAUGCAGCGACGCCGCGUGAGUGAUGAAGUAUUUCGGUAUGUAAAACUCUAUCAGCAGGGAAGAUAAUGACGGUACCUGACUAAGAAGCACCGGCUAAAUACGUG